AAUCGAACCCGGAGAUAGCUGGUUCUCCUCGAAAUAGCUUUAGGGCUAGCCUCAUGAGAGUCUUAUGGAGGUAGAGCACUGAAUUGCCUAGGGGGCGUCAAAGCUUACCAAAGCAUAUCAAACUCCGAAUGCCAUCAAGAUGAUUCAUGGGAGUCAGACCAUACGAGAUAAGUUGGAUGGUCAAAAGGGAAAGAGCCCAGACCUACAGCUAAGGUCCCAAAGUACGUGUUAAGUGGAAAAGGAUGUGGGGAUUCUAAGACAACUAGGACGUUGGCUUAGAAGCAGCCAUUCAUUGAAAGAGUGCGUAAUAGCUCACUAGUCGAGAGUCCCUGCGCCGAAAAUGUCCGGGGCUGAAACACGACACCGAAGCUUAGGAAUGUGUAAACAUUGGUAGAGGAGCAUUGCUGGCGGGAUGAAGCCAUACCGUAAGGAGUGGUGGACUGCCAGGAAGAGAGAAUGCCGGAAUGAGUAGCGAGAUGAAGGUGAGAAUCCUUCAGGCCGAAUAUCUAAGGUUUCCAGAGUAAAGCUGAUCUGCUCUGGGUAAGUCGGGACCUAAGGCGAGGUCGAAAGACGUAGUCGAUGGAUAACAGGUUGAAAUUCCUGUACCGCAUAUAAACAGAACUGUGGGGACACAGACAGGGAAUGGAAUCCGGGAGUGGAGAUCCCGGUGCAAGCGAGGUAGGAGUGCUGUUGGCAAAUCCGCAGCACGAUCUGAAGACGUGACGCGUACCGAACAUAAGUAGGGAAGUCCAGGCCCCUGGCUGUCAAGAAAAGCCGCUAUUGUUUUAUAUGUGCCCGUACCGCAAACCGACACAGGUGGAUGAGGAGAGAAUCCUAAGGCCGACGGGAGAAGUAUUGUUAAGGAACUCGGCAAAAUGACUCCGUAACUUCGGGAGAAGGAGUGCCAUGAGAGUGGCCGCAGAGAAAUGGCCCAAGCAACUGUUUAGCAAAAACACAGGUCUAUGCAAAACCGCAAGGUGAAGUAUAUGGGCUGACGCCUGCCCGGUGCUGGAAGGUUAAGGGGAGAGGUUAGCGCAAGCGAAGCUUUGAACUUAAGCCCCAGUAAACGGCGGCCGUAACUAUAACGGUCCUAAGGUAGCGAAAUUCCUUGUCGGGUAAGUUCCGACCCGCACGAAAGGCGUAAUGAUUUGGGCACUGUCUCAACGAGAGACUCGGUGAAAUUUUAGUACCUGUGAAGAU
rnacentral:rRNA from 1 species